rnacentral:rRNA from 1 species
AUUGAACGCUGGCUGCAGGCCUAACACAGGGAAGCCAAACCGAUGAAGGGAUCUUGCUCUUUGGUUCAGCUGCGGACUGGUCAGUAAUGCCUAGGAAUGUCCCUGGUACCUAGCGAUAACUUCUCGGAACGGGCUCUAAUCCCGCAUACGUCCUGAUGCAGAAAGUGUGUGGUCUUCGCACCUCUCGCUGUCAGAUGAGCCGAGGUCGGAUUACCUAGUUGGGGGGGUAAAGGCCUACCAAGGCGACGAUCCGUAACUGGUCUGAGAGGAUGAUCAGUCACACUGGAACUGAGACACGGUCCAGACUCCUACGGGAGGCAGCAGUGGGGAAUAUUGGACAAUGGGCGAAAGCCUGAUCCAGCCAUGCCGCGUGUGUGAAGAAGGUCUUCGGAUUGUAAAGCACUUUAAGUUGGGAGGAAGGGCAGUAAGUUAAUACCUUGCUGUUUUGACGUCACCAACAGAAUAAGCACCGGCGAACUUCGUG